rnacentral:rRNA from 1 species
AGAGUUUGAUCAUGGCUCAGAGCGAACGCUGGCGGCAGGCUUAACACAUGCAAGUCGAGCGGGCGUAGCAAUACGUCAGCGGCAGACGGGUGAGUAACGCGUGGGAACGUACCUUUUGGUUCGGAACAACCCAGGGAAACUUGGACUAAUACCGAAUAAGCCCUUACGGGGAAAGAUUUAUCGCCGAAAGAUCGGCCCGCGUCUGAUUAGCUAGUUGGUGAGGUAACGGCUCACCAAGGCGACGAUCAGUAGCUGGUCUGAGAGGAUGAUCAGCCACAUUGGGACUGAGACACGGCCCAAACUCCUACGGGAGGCAGCAGUGGGGAAUAUUGGACAAUGGGCGCAAGCCUGAUCCAGCCAUGCCGCGUGAGUGAUGAAGGCCCUAGGGUUGUAAAGCUCUUUUGUGCGGGAAGAUAAUGACGGUACCGCAAGAAUAAGCCCCGGCUAACUUCGUGCCAGCAGCCGCGGUAAUACGAAGGGGGCUAGCGUUGCUCGGAAUCACUGGGCGUAAAGGGUGCGUAGGCGGGUCUUUAAGUCAGGGGUGAAAUCCUGGAGCUCAACUCCAGAACUGCCUUUGAUACUGAAGAUCUUGAGUUCGGGAGAGGUGAGUGGAACUGCGAGUGUAGAGGUGAAAUUCGUAGAUAUUCGCAAGAACACCAGUGGCGAAGGCGGCUCACUGGCCCGAUACUGACGCUGAGGCACGAAAGCGUGGGGAGCAAACAGGAUUAGAUACCCUAGUAGUCC